rnacentral:rRNA from 1 species
UACGUAGGGACCAAGCGUUGUUCGGAUUCACUGGGCGUAAAGGGCGCGUAGGCGGCUUGUCAAGUCACUUGUGAAAUCUCUGGGCUUAACCCAGAACGGCCAAGUGAAACUGACAUGCUAGAGUGCAGAAGGGGCAAUCGGAAUUCUUGGUGUAGCGGUGAAAUGCGUAGAUAUCAAGAGGAACACCUGGGGUGAAGACGGGUUGCUGGGCUGACACUGACGCUGAGGCGCGAAAGCCAGGGGAGCAAACGGG